AUGAGGGACGAAACGUCUUCCAGUAUCUUCAACCAAGUCCAGUUGCCCUUCAUUUUAACCUUCGUUGGAGAACUAUGACCUGGAUGACUGAGAAUCUUCACAGACAGUCACCAACUUUGCACUGCAUUUCAAAGCUGCAGCCAGCUCCUCAGCCGCAACACCCAGUACCAAAGAUGAAGUCAGUGUGCUGUUGAAAAAAGUGCAGGAUCUAUUCAACCAAAAAUAUAAGGAGGCUGGAGGUGUUGGAAGGCUCCCCUACCGGUCCCUGGUGAAUCAAAGGGUGACCAUAAAUGUUGCUAGGCUGCCCAAUGGUCUUACCCUCAAGAAGCCAUCCUUUUAUGGAAGCCAUUUUAAAAGCUGCUGAGCAUAUUUCAUUUGAAAUAAAUGCAGCACAAUGCCACCCCACUGACACAGCAGAGGGAAGUUCAGAACACAUCAACGCAGAAUACACAGCAGAUGACCUCCAGACGAAGUCGGUGGAAGAGAUAUUAGAGGCCAUGUGUGAAAAUGGUGCACAGCAGAUGGAAGAGGAAUCCUCAGAAACAACCAGUAAUGUAGCCGUGCUGAUGACUGCAG